rnacentral:rRNA from 1 species
CUUGGGAAUUGCCAUUCGAUACUGGGUAAGCUAGAGUUUUGGGAGGNGGGGGGGUAGAAUUUCCAGGUGUAGCGGUGAAAUGCGUAGAGAUUUGGAGGAAUACCGAUGGGGGAAGGCAGCCAUCUGGCCUAAUACUGACGCUGAGGUACGAAAAGCAUGGGGAGCAAACAGGAUUAGAUACCCUGGUAGUUCCUGCCGUAAACGAUGUCUAAUAGCCGGUGGGUCCUUUGAGGCNUUAGUGGCGCAGGUAACGCGAUAAGUAGACCGCCUGGGGAGUACGGUCGCAAGACUAAAAAUCAAAUGAAUUGACGGGGGCCCGCACCAGCGGUGGAGCCUGUGGUUUAAUUUGAUGCAACGCGAAGAACCUUACCUUGUUCUGACCUUGUAAGAACUUUCCAGAGAUGGAUUGGUGCCUUUGGGAAAUUACAUACCGGUGGUGCAUGGGUGUUGUUAGGUUGUGUUGUGAGAUGUUGGGUUAAGUUCCGCAACGAGGGCAACCCUUUUCCUUAUUUGCCAGCGGGUUAAGCCGGGAACUCUAAGGAUACUGCCAGUGACAAACUGGAGGAAGGCGGGGACGACGUCAAGUCAUCAUGGCCCUUACGACCAGGGCUACACACGUGCUACAAUGGUCGGUACAAAGGGAUGCUACCUCGCGAUAGCAAGCUAAUCUCAAAAAGCCGAUCGUAGUCCGGAUUGGAGUCUGCAACUCGACUCCAUGAAGUCGGAAUCGCUAGUAAUUGCGGAUCAGAAUGCCGCGGUGAAUACGUUCCCGGGCCUUGUACACCACCCGCCCGUUCCCCCCCAUUGGGAAUUUGGUGGCA